rfam:Eikenella corrodens ATCC 23834 Scfld0 genomic scaffold, whole genome shotgun sequence.
AAAACAAAUGCCUUGGAAACUACAUUGGUCGCAGGUUCGAGUCCUGCCCCGCUCCAAGCGGGUAGCUCAGUCUGGUAGAGCGGUUAAACGUUUCCCAAAAACUCGUUGUUUGCUG